rnacentral:rRNA from 1 species
UGGGGAAUUUUGCACAAUGGAGGAAACUCUGAUGCAGCGACGCCGCGUGAGUGAUGAAGAUCUUCGGAUUGUAAAACUCUGUCCUUAGUGAAGAUAAUGACAGUAACUAAGAAGCAAGCCCUGGCUAAAUACGUGCCAGCAGCCGCGGUAAUACGUAUGGGGCAAGCGUUGUCCGGAAUUAUUGGGCGUAAAGGGUACGUAGGCGGUUUAAUAAGUCCUAAUUAAAAGGCUAUGGCUCAACCAUAGUAUGGUUAGGAAACUGUUGAACUUGAGUAGAUGGGGGGAAAGUGGAAUUCCAUGUGUAGCGGUGAAAUGCGUAGAUAUAUGGAGGAACACCAAUGGCGAAGGCAACUUUCUGGAAUCAAACUAACGCUGAGGUACGAAGGCGUGGGGAGCAAACAGG